UAAGGAAUACUGCUCAAUGGGAGAAAUCCUGAAGCAGCAACGCCGCGUGGAGGAUGAAGGGUCUAUGACUUGUAAACUCCUGUAAAGAAGGAAAAAAUUCCCAUUAGAUGGGAGAUGAUGGUACUUCUGGAGUAAGCCCCGGCUAACUACGUGCCAGCAGCCGCGGUAAUACGUAGGGGGCAAGCGUUGUCCGGAUUUACUGGGUGUAAAGGGUGCUCAGGCGGAUUUGUAAGUCCGAGGUGAAAUCUUACAGCUUAACUGUGAAACUGCCUUUGAUACUGCAAGCCUAGAGUAUGGAAGAGAGCGAUGGAAUAUCUGGUGUAGCAGUGAAAUGCGUAGAUAUCAGAUAGAACACCAAUGGCGAAGGCAGUCACUUGGGCCAUUACUGACGCUAAAGCACGAAAGCGUGGGUAGCAAACA
rnacentral:rRNA from 1 species